UACGAAGGGGGCUAGCGUUGCUCGGAAUCACUGGGCGUAAAGGGUGCGUAGGCGGGUUUUUAAGUCAGGGGUGAAAUCCUGGAGCUCAACUCCAGAACUGCCUUUGAUACUGAAGAUCUUGAGUCCGGGAGAGGUGAGUGGAACUGCGAGUGUAGAGGUGAAAUUCGUAGAUAUUCGCAAGAACACCAGUGGCGAAGGCGGCACACUGGCCCGGUACUGACGCUGAGGCACGAAGGCCAGGGGAGCAAACGGG
rnacentral:rRNA from 1 species